AUGAUUGUUACUUUAUGGGCGAUUUGGAGUGCAAGACGGAAAGCUAUACAUGAGGAUAUAUACCAGACUCCGUUUGCCAUUAACAACUUCAUCAAAGCUUACUUAUCAGACAUAGAGUUUUUGAAGAAGAAGAAGGAGGAAGCACAUGGGAUAGCAGCACCACGACCCCGUACGUGGAUUCCACCACCAACAGAUUACUACAAACUCAAUGUGGACGCGGCCGUGUCACGCCCAGGUACGUUUGGCGCAGUUGGUGUGGUUUGCAGGGAUGAGAGAGGUUUGUUCAUGGGAGCGUCAGCUCUCGUUUUCAAAGGACUGCACAACCCCCAAGUGCUAGAAGCACUAGCUGUUCGGGAGGCAUUAGCACUUUCAGAAGAUCUCUAUAUCAACCAUUUACUUGUUGCCUCCGAUUGCAAGGUGGUGGUAGAUGCAAUCAGACAGGGAAGCUCAGCAGAAUUUGGAGCCAUUGUCGAGGAAAUCAAGACUAGAGUGUAA
rnacentral:rRNA from 1 species